CAAAUUAUAGCUUAUAAAGUUUUUUAUUUACAUUAAAAAGGUAAUUGUUAAUUCAAUUUAGUUUGA
rnacentral:tRNA from 1 species